rfam:Zootermopsis nevadensis contig20499, whole genome shotgun sequence.
GCCACGGUGGUCUAGCGGUCAGAACACUAGCCUUGUAAGCCUGGGGUCCCGGGUUCUAUUCCCGGUGGUGCUC